UGUGUGUGUGUGUGUGUGUGUGUGUGUGUGUGUGUGUGUGUGUGUGUGUGUGUGUGUGUGUGUGUGUGUGUGUGUGUUGACCUCCACAGAGGCGCUGAGCAUCACUGACCCCCAGCUCUGCUACAUCCUGGACGGGUUUCUGGGUCUCUACGGUCUCAUCAUGACCGGCAUGUUCAUCAAGGAGAAGUUCUUCAGAACCAAAGCGAAGGGCUCAGACGAUGGAACCUACGCUUCUCUCAGCAGAGCGACGGGCGACACCUACGAGCCGCUGAUGACCGACCCGGAGCGAGGACGG